UAUUGUUGUUGUCUUUUCUACUAAACUAGGCCCGUGGAGAGAGUCUGCUCAUUGGCCGAGAGGAGGGAAGGAGAAGACUAGGCGAUAGAGGAGUCACUGGGGUCUCCUGGGAAUGGUUAAUAUUUGAAGCAUAUAAGGUUUAUUUUUGAGGCCUCUGUGUUUGUUCAGUGGCUAAUGAGUAGUACUGGCAGCAGGCAGGCAGCUAUCUUAGCGGUCGUAGUAAACGGGAGCUAUGUUACCUUCACUGCAUUUAGGAGCGCCCGGUGAGGAGAGCUGGUGUUCGUAGUGGUGGACUAUUUUUGUCGGCUGUAUCGACUCAACCAAUGAGAGCCUGGCACUCAUGUACAUGACCCUGGGCCAAGAACAUGUAUGUAAUGCGCUGCACGGCCACCUCUCUCUCCAUACACGUUUGACAUACUCAGACAUGACAGACUUCUUCCACAUGAGGUUUAAGAUGGAGACUCCGACAUCAUCAAAUCUGUCGUUCUGCCCCUGAACAAGGCAGUUAACCCACUGUUCCUAGGCCGUCAUUGUAAAUAAGAAUUUGUUCUUAACUGAUUUGCCUAGUUAAAUAAAGGUAAAAUAAAAAAAAGAAUCAGAGGACGAGAGAAAAGGAGAAGACCAAGUACCGAUGACCUGUGUUAAGAGCCGGCUUUACCAACAUCAGCAAAUCAAUAUUUUUAUACCAGAGUCGUUCUUGAAUUGCGGUGGCAUUUGGGUAUGGCAUACAAAAAAAAAAAAAACAUUAUUUCUAGAUAUGUAUUUACCAUUAGGAUAACAUUGUGCCACCAGUAGGAGUCAUAACACCAAUGAGAAUUUUGGUUAUUGAGGAUUUUCUUAAAUGGAGGCCACAGAUGCUUAAAUCUAAGGUCAUUAACCCAUAAAAUAGUUGACUAAAGGGAUAUGAUUAAUAAUUUAGCUCAAUGUUAUUUCCCUUCAUUUUAAAUUGACACCAAGUGAUACUGGAUUUAGACACACCACAUUAUCAAUGGAAUCCUCAAAUGUAUGACAUAAUAAAAGAAAGUGUGAUUAGCUAACACUUUUCUUUAAUAAAGAUGUUUUCCUCCGGAGGGAAGGGUCGAGGUCCUUGUAUAUCUUUGUAAUGAGUGGUUUUCAAGGCGGUAACACCAAGGAAAUAAAACGGACGGACCGAUAUAGUAGUAAAAAAAAAAAGUAUUUUAAUAGCCUUUGUUUUUAUUAAUCUAUACAAUAUAUAUUAAAUACCUUUUUCAUUUACUAACAUUCAAAAUAAUAUAUAGCUCUAAAUCCCCAAAAUGUCACUACAACGUCACACAUCACUACUGGGACAAGCCAAUGUGAUUACUUACCCUAAGUACUUUAUACUGCAAAACUUUCUGUUAAUACAUUGUUAAAUGGACUUGCAUUACAGUAGCUA
rnacentral:lncRNA from 1 species